GAUGAACGCUGGCGGCGUGCCUAAUACAUGCAAGUCGAGCGAACGGACGAGAAGCUUGCUUCUCUGAUGUUAGCGGCGGACGGGUGAGUAACACGUGGAUAACCUACCUAUAAGACUGGGAUAACUUCGGGAAACCGUAGCUAAUACCGGAUAAUAUUUUGAACCGCAUGGUUCAAAAGUGAAAGACGGUCUUGCUGUCACUUAUAGAUGGAUCCGCGCUGCAUUAGCUAGUUGGUAAGGUAACGGCUUACCAAGGCAACGAUGCAUAGCCGACCUGAGAGGGUGAUCGGCCACACUGGAACUGAGACACGGUCCAGACUCCUACGGGAGGCAGCAGUAGGGAAUCUUCCGCAAUGGGCGAAAGCCUGACGGAGCAACGCCGCGUGAGUGAUGAAGGUCUUCGGAUCGUAAAACUCUGUUAUUAGGGAAGAACAUAUGUGUAAGUAACUGUGCACAUCUUGGCGGUACCUAAUCAGAAAACCACGGCUAACUACGU
rnacentral:rRNA from 1 species